rnacentral:tRNA from 1 species
CGCCCCCGUUGUGUAGCGGCCUAGCACGCCGCCCUCUCAAGGCGGUAGCGCCGGUUCGAAUCCGGUCGGGCCUCGGCCA